UGCAGCAUGCACUUACCAAGAUCUAAUAAUGCUUGUGAUUGGCUGUUUCAUGUUACACGUUGUAGAUGCAUGCAGGAAAAACAGCACCCUACGCACAGACAAGGGGCUCAUGUGUGUGUUGAUGUGUUUUGAGAGGCUUGACUACAGUGUGCAUCUCAUACAGUAGGUGUAAAGGAGCUAAGGAUUUUACUGUAAUGUUGUAAUUUCUU